AUGCUCUUCAACCACUCGGAGGUGGACUUCAUCAUGAAGCCCGGCGAUCGCGCCGCACAGAUGAUCGUCCAGGUCAUUGCGAUGCCGGAGGUCGCCGAGGUGGAGGACCUCGACGCCACCGUCCGGCGGGAGGGAGUGUUUGGAUCCACCGACGUUUGA
rnacentral:rRNA from 1 species